AGUGGCGGACGGGUGAGUAACGCGUGAGAAUCUGCCUUGGGGUCGGGGACAACCACUGGAAACGGUGGCUAAUACCGGAUAAGCCGAUUGGUGAAAGAUUUAUUGCCCUAAGAGGAGCUCGCGUCUGAUUAGCUAGUUGGUGAGGUAAGAGCUCACCAAGGCAGCGAUCAGUAGCUGGUCUGAGAGGACGAUCAGCCACACUGGGACUGAGACACGGCCCAGACUCCUACGGGAGGCAGCAGUGGGGAAUUUUCCGCAAUGGGCGAAAGCCUGACGGAGCAAGACCGCGUGAGGGAGGAAGGCUCUUGGGUUGUAAACCUCUUUUCUCAGGGAAGAAGCUCUGACGGUACCUGAGGAAUCAGCCUCGGCUAACUCCGUGCCAGCAGCCGCGGUAAUACGGAGGAGGCAAGCGUUAUCCGGAAUUAUUGGGCGUAAAGCGUCCGCAGGUGGCGGUUCAAGUCUGCUGUCAAAGCACGGGGCUUAACUCCGUAAAGGCAGUGGAAACUGAAUAGCUAGAGUGCCGUAGGGGUAGAGGGAAUUCCCGGUGUAGCGGUGAAAUGCGUAGAGAUCGGGAAGAACAUCGGUGGCGAAAGCGCUCUACUGGACGGCAACUGACACUCAGGGACGAAAGCUAGGGGAGCGAAUGGGAUUAGAUACCCC
rnacentral:rRNA from 1 species